GUAGCGGUGACGUCAGAUAAACUAGGAGCAGCGGUAACAUCCACGGAUAGAAGAGGAAACAGUGAACUCACAUGUGUGCGUCUUCUUCACCGCCGCUGACGAACCUGCAACACACAAGACAACAGAUUCAGUCACAGUCUCCAGCUGAAGGGCAUCAGAAGUGAACAUUUAAGAGUCAGAGAUCAGACGACCAGACGGAGGUGGAACGAGGAACAACACCAACACGUCUGAGGUGAGUUCUCUUCUGGAAAAAAGAUCAAUUUGAUCCAAGUUCUGGGGGAGAAAACUAUUUUAUUUCACCUAUCACAGGUGUUAUUGACAAGUUAUACAAACAUCAUUCACACACACGAUCAACAGUAUUUAUCCGCCUCAGAACCUCAGUGUUUUCUUGAGAACUUUUAUAUUAAAAAUAAAUUAUUCAACAUCAGAAACUAGUUAAAUGUCUGAGACUAGAAACAAAAACCCUGUUGUUUGUGGUAACAGAGCUGAACUGUGACAUUUCCAGUUGAUAUUCCAGUUGUGAAGAGCUGUGACAAUCUGAGAUCGGAGCCAUGCUUCCUGUUGUAACCGCCGUCCUGUUGGUGGUCCUGAUGUUCAUGAAGAACUCUGCAGCCGGAGAAAAUGAGGAGCAAGAAUGCCAGGAGCAUUUUAGUCUUGUACCAUGUGGUUCUGGAUGGUACCGGCUGGACAGCAGUCGCUGUGUGUUGAACGCUCCGACUGCGGAAACGUAUGACGAUGCAGAGAUGUUCUGCCAAAAUCAAGGUGCUAAUUUGGUGUCAUUCAGGGGAAGAGACGACCUUAUCCAAGUGCUGUGUCAGUGGUUCAUUGAAAAAAAUGAAAGGGUUCCUCACUGGCUCGGAGCCAGAAAACAAGAGGGUGAAUUUCAAUGGGCUGACGGAAGUGGACGAGUGAGCGAUGGAGGCCGUCGCAACUUCCUGAAUGAACAGGCUGAGGACUGUGCAGAAAUCACCAUCUAUGGUUUGUGGAAAGGCAUAUCAUGUUCAGCAACAAGGAACUUUGUCUGUCAGAAGACGGGGUGAUCGUUGUCUCCAGCUGAUGAGCCUGCUUCACUGUAACCUCUGUGAAUGCAACCUUUAAUAUUUACUGUAAUAACUGUUUAGCAUCAGCAAACAUGGAUUUUUUCAUUUCUGUAUGUGUCCAGCAGAAUGACAGUUGUAGCCAUUGUACACGUACUGCAGACUGAGCCUGACAUACAGUAUAAUUACCUGAUUAGUUUCAUCUGGUUUCAUAGAUACAUACAGCUGGGUGUCGUCUGCAUAGCAAAGUAAAUCCAUGUGGUGCUUUCAGCUUUGGUUAGUUUUAUAAUGUCUCUAAUAACAGCAGGACAGAGACGACAGAACUGUGUUUAGUGUAGAUAUUGAUAAAGCAGAGGAACCAAGUCCUGCUGAAUUUAGGUAAAUUGUCAUUGUCUGUACUUUCUAUCCUGUUGUAAGAAACAGAGAUUUAACCGUGGUCCAUAAACUCUACACAUUCACCAAGCUGCUGAUAAAAUUCCCAAUUCAUAACCCAGGUGUAAUGUGACAAAAUCAACAGAAACCUGGUUAAUAACAGCAGCUCUGCUGUGUGUUUGGAUAUAAUGACAUUUAAAAUGAAUGAUCACAGUGAUACUUUAAGGUUGUUGGACAUUGUUCAGUUCAAUACAAUUCAAUUUUAUUUGUAUAGCGCCAAAUCACAACAUACAUUUUCUCAAGGCACUUAGUGGCACAUAGUGAGGUAUAUUACAAUUACAACAUUACAGACAAAAACCCAACAAAUCCAAGUUAAAGGUCAGUUGUCCUCGUACAAACUGAAACACUGAGCUGGAGUUUUAACAUCUUCACAAUCUGGAGGUCGUUUUCACUGUUCACAGUUUGAUUCUGGCUCCGAUCCCGUGUUUGAUUGGAUGGCAACUAGACACAUCAAUUUGUCCAUUUUUAUAGCAGUUUUUAAUUCUAGUCUCAGACAUUUUACUAGUUUCUGAUGUUGAAAUAUGACAUUUUAAAUGUAAAAGUUCUAAAGAAAACAUUGAGGUUCUGAGCGAGGUAAAACAUCCUUGUAAAUAAAAUUGAAUUGAAUCUUACAGAGCUGACGGGACGUUAUUUUAAAUAAUUUAUUUACUUUACUGAAAGAAGCGGUUGAUGAAUAAACGAGGUGAGUUACACCAUGUUGUGUUUGUGUGUAAAUGUAGACGAACCAUCUCGCAGCUUUUAUGAAAACAUGAUUUUUUGUUCUUUCUUGUCACGUCACCGAGGAGGAAUAAGAUGUUGCAGGUGUUUAGGUUUAAUGUGCUGGUGAGUAAUUUCUUCCACGUUAAUUACAGACACUCACGGCUCGACACCGUUUCCCUGCUGAAUUAACCGAGAGGAACUCAGAUUGAUGCUUCUGCCCUGAAAACAACCGUCAUUGUAAGCCACUGACCAAUGGUGUGAUGGUACAGUAUGUGGUGGCAGUCGGGUGAGGCGGUUGUCAUUAAUAUCUCCCGGAGCUCGGGUCGGACCCGGAGCGGAGCGGCGGCAGCUCCAGCACAUCUUCAUCUUCAUCGACUGAGCCGCAGCUCACCAGACCAGCUGUGAAUCCAUCAUGGCUAUUAUUACCUGCGGCUCCGCACAGCAUCCAUCACACACACACACACACACACACACACACACACACACACACACACACACACACACACACAGAGUGUGUUCUGUCUUUGUCUCUUUUCACACAGCUCUGUUGCUCUUUUUCCUUUCCAUACUUACACACACAUACAUCCACUACGUGUAUGACCUAAAACCGAGGUGCCGUUGAGCGAGGGGCUUUGGCUUCAACAGUGGUUUCAUAGUGUAGUGGUCAUCACGUCUGCUGUAUGCGCAGAAGGUCCUAGGUUCGAUCCCCAGUGGAACCACACGUCCGUCAUGUUGCCACAUACGCGUGAAACAAUGACAAUCGAGCAAACUUUUUAAACUGCUGAAACAUGAAACCUCUCACUGCUCAGGUCAUCGUAUACGAUCCAAAGACGCGGAAGCGCCUGUAUAUUUACAAGGUUUAGGAUUUAAGACCGGACGGGAAACACAACUGAACGCAGUACAUGAUACUCUGCUUCCUGAAACCUGAGGAGCUGCUGCUGGAAAAAAUUCACCAGCUUUGUUCACAGUUCUUCAAGUUGGAACAGUUUGCUGCUGAAUGUUGGAGAUAAUGAACUGAUCUAGAGUUCAGCUUCACUCUGGAUCCUCUCACAGGAGAUCGUAGCACCUCACCACAGUCACAUAGAGACAGAACACAAUCCUCCAGGUUCACACUCGCUGAACCAUCAACAGAAUCUACACGCUCAAGUCUGACAAGGAGAAGUUUGAUUUGAGAUCUUUCUCAGCCAGUGGUUUCAUAGUGUAGUGGUCAUCACGUCUGCUUUACACGCAGAAAGUCCUGGGUUCAAUCCCCAGUGGAACCAAACAUCGGCAACUAGCUUUAAUGAAAACGCAUCACAUGAAAGUUUAGCUCAAGGUUCAAAUAUAGCUAAUUACUUUUCACUCUUGCAUUGACUUUGGAUGUAUUCUCAUCUCAUGGAAAAUU
ensembl:lncRNA